CCACUGUGGAAACCCACUCGCGAGGGGAUAAGGGGAUAGUUGAGCCGAGCGGAUAAAACUGUGAGCGGUUGUGGGGCAGCGUCGCAGCGACAACGAAUAGUUUUUCCGAAUCGUGAUGCGUCGCACAGGAGCAGGAGCGAUGCGGCGCUGAUAUCUAGAUUUUCCCUUUAUCCUUUCGGUCGGUGUCUGCCUUCCCGUGCCCGCCGCCGCCGCACUCUAUCUCUCUCCUUUCGCCCCCCCGCCGCAUCAGAGCCUCCGCCUCCAAUCACCGCCGACCAGAAUAGACGGCUCUCCCCGGACCGGAGCCAUGUCCGGGAUGUGGGCUUCCGUUGCUGUGUUGUUGAUUAGUGGAGGGAUGCUUGCGGCUGCGGGGUGGCAGGUGUUAAAUCUAGGGUUCGUCUUCUCCUCGAUCCAGCAUCAUGGACGUCUCACGGGAUUUCUCCCUAGCCAAGCGCAUGUCUAUGUGGCUGUUGGGGCCAAUGGAGGCCUCUUCAGCAUGCCCGACCUCAAAGUCAAUUGAGAUUCAAGGACUUCGCUACCAAGAUUAUGCGGGCAAGCCGGAGCUGCGGCUAUCCGGUUGAUUCGGACAGCCAAGUGUCCUUCUGUGUCAUAGAUACCUACUGCAACAAGGGAAGCAAUGAGGUUUCAGUGUUAUCCAAAUGACCCUAACCCAAAGAAAGAUUCAAGAAUAGCUUUUCCAAAGCUAUGGAGUAAUGCAGUAUAUUUGUGCAGUGAGGUGUUGAACUGAAGCUGGCCGUGGCCCUGGCCCAUAAAAGCUCCAACGGGCAUAGUUCUAGAGUAAUACAAUGGCUUACAAUUGUGCAGCGGAUGGCAACUGAAUGAUAAGGUUAAUAUUUCUCUGAUAAUCCUCAACAUCAACAUGCCUACAUGUCAAAGAACAAUUAUCAUAUUUACACUACGUAUACAACCUCUAUCCUGAACACUUUCUAUUUUUGUGUACAAUAUCCCGUGAAUAAAAUGCCAGUGCUCUUUGCAAGAAGGAAAAGAAAUAGAAUAAAACUCUUUUUUGUUGCCUUCUGUUAUCAGAGUGUAUCUGUGAGCAAAAAAAAAUCUCUUUGCUCAGACAUCAGAUGUACUAUCCUGGUUUACUUUAUUCUUCGUAAAGAAAUAAACUACUCCCUCCGGUCCAUAAGAAGUAUCGUGGUUUUAUUCAAAUUUGAAUUAAAAUCACGGCACUUAUUUUGGAUCGAAGGAAGUACAAGUAAUAAACAACACUCGAAUCGAAACUUAAUCUACUUUCAUUAUUUUAUUUAUAUGCCAUAUUCAAAAUCAAAAUCUAUGUGUUGUUUAUAAGGUUGUAGAAGAAAAAAUAAAUAAUUAACACUAACACGGAGGUGCACACCAUGCAUGCCACGCGAAAAAGAAACACGCUGCGCAUAUGCCAACGAAGAUUGCACCAUUCCAAUAAGAAAGGAAAUUAUAAAAGGUGCUAAUUUUUUUUUUGCGAGAGUAUAACAUGUGCUAAGUUCAUUCCUGAAUUUUGCAACUAUCUGCUGAGCUUCAACUCUAGCUCUAGCAGUUCAGCAGAGUUCAAUAUGGCCAUGAUUGCUAACUUUUCGCUUUUCAAUAGUUGCAUCGUGGUAUACUAUAGCAUGCUUACAUUUAGGUCUACCAAUGUCAGAACUCAUAACAAAUUCACUUGAAGUAUACAUUUCUACAUGUCUCUCAACUUCUUCAUUUUAUCCAUUGUUUACCUAUAGUUGGGCUACCGGACCUAAUCUAAAUCGGCUAAUCGGGACCGUUCAUGAAAUCAUACAUCUCCCCUCCCUAGCUGUGGUAGAAGGUACCCUAGCUGUGGUAGAAGGUACCAGAAAAGAAGCCUAGUUUAGAAGUUAUCUGUUCAUCUAUUUUAAUGAUGUGCAUGUUUAGUUUACUUGUUGUUUCUGUAGUCAUGUUUUUUAUCAAUUGCUCAUUCGAAUUAAAUCAUAUAGUAAUUUGCUUAUAUAUUCAACAUGUUAUGGAUGGGAACAAACAUUUAAAUUUCUAGGCGAAAGUAUGUCACAUGGACCUCCUAAUUAGUUAACAGUAUAACUCAACCAGCUAGGACUCCUCACAGCGAUUUGGUGCUCCUCACCGUCCGAUCCAGGCGCUCAACGCUGCAGAUCAUCCGGUGUCGCCGAAACGUCGCGUGAACCAAAUUCCGUCGCAAUUCUCGUUACGUAGGCCUGCGCACACUUAAAGGGCUGCUACUCCGCAGGCUGAGUUGGAAGCACUCUGGUAAAUCGGGCCUAUAGACCAUUCCAUUUGUUUUACCGGCCCACGAAGCAUAGACAGACACUCAGACAGGCUGUGUGUGCAAUCCCUUCGGCCCGCUAGGUCUCACCUCUUCCAGGCGCCGCGAUCCCCUCCUGGUCUCGGCAUAAGGAGGCAUGGGCAUGGGGGAGGAACCUGGGUGCAGCGCCGCCGGCUGAUGCCGGAAAUUUGAUGGGCAGGGGGUGCGGGAGCGAACCCUAGCGCUUGGCCGAACGGUACUUCGAGCGGCGGCGCCCACCGCGAAGGCGCUUUCAUCGGUGGCUGCAACCAACAAUGGUGGUUCGGCGCGCGGAGGACCUGGUGGAGACGGAGAUGAGGGGAACCGACGUCGCUCAUGCACUCCUUGUUCGCGAUCUCUUCGCUGCCGCCGUUCAACAGGGCAUGGCCUUUCCUCCAUCGGCGGCCUCAUGGGUUGAAGUUGAAGUUCAGUGGACUGAAAACAAGGAGACACGAUAAAAAAAUCACUCAAGGGAUGGGCAUGGAGACAUUUGCAGUUUUAUUUAUGAUACAUGCUCUUAAUCGUAAAGUACCAUGGCCAAUUGUGUUGGAACUGGAAGAAUGAGUUCUAAAGCUAACAAUCUAACUCGGAAUAAAUCUUUCAAACUGUUGAAGCGCCUAAUUACUUGUUAUAGCCUUACUUGAUUGCAUACUGCUUCUUGUUGUUCUAAUAUUCUUAGGGGUUUUAGGUCACUGUUCAAAUGUUAAGUAGGGACUUAAGUCAUCAUGCUUUAUCUACAUUUAUAUCGCCUCAAAACUUGGUAAGUGAGGGGACACCUAUACUAUUUUUUUUCAUUUUUCUACUGCAUUCAUCUUGAUUAUUGGUGCAAGCAUGAAUGCCCUUACACUACAGGCAAAGGUAGAAUCUAUUAUUGUUCAUUCAUAUAUCCUUUUCGGAGAGAAACGGAAGAUUGACCUCAUUUGUUUUAUCUGUUAGAAUCACCAUACAAGUUGUUUCCGAAAUCUGACACUAGCUAACCGGAUCCCUUAAAGAUUUACAUCCUGGCCUGCACUUGAGAACGAAUAUUCUCUUAUGGUCUGCAAACUUUAUACUCUGGACUUAUAUGCUAACUGGUUGUCUCAUGAUUCCUGAGUUGUACUGUCCGAUUUUCCCUAUCAAAAGAAACAACUUAAUUGUUGAUAAUUUUAGUAAUUAAUCGUUUUAAAUAGGAAACAUAACCCAUCAUCAUCCUCUUGGUAAUACAUCUUACCAACAACCAAAUGUUGGAAGAAAACUGUGUUGCAGAUGUCAAACUUUCAUUUGAUCGGCUUUUGCUGUUUAUAUUUACAUCCUCCUUAUAUCACAACUUAAUAUCAUUUUUCAAUUAGUAUGCUCCAUUCAACUUUUUUUUCCCAUGUUCUCUGCACUAUACCAAAUGAUCUAGCCUUUGUUGCUGUUAAAUUUCGUAGUUGAUUCCUAUUAAUUGCAGCAAGCAUGCUUAUGACAUGGUCUGGUGAGAGGAGUUCAAAUUAGUACGGCUGGACUAAAAUAGGUGAGUCAAUUUCUUACUCUAAUAUUAUCCUCUUUUUGCUCAACCUAAUGAUAACCUUGGUAAAAGGUCUAUCCAAGAAACACUACCCCAGCCUCGGUCAGCUACUUUACUUUUUUUUUUGCAUGAGUGAGAUGAGGAUAUCAGAGAUUAGUACUAAUUUAUUGUAUACUAACUAAUAGAGGCUCCAUUUGAGCCUCCAUCAUAAAGAUGUAACAUACUAGAAAAUCUUUGUGUAUGUUCCUGUCAUCUUUAUAUAUAUACAUUAGCUAGACAGAAGCAUGUGGGAAUAGAGGCUCCAUUUGAGCCCCCAUCAUAAAGAUGUAACAUACUAUAAAAUAUUUGUGUAUGUUCCUAUCAUCUUUAUAUAUAUACAUUAGCUAGACAGAAGCAUGUGGGAAUAGAGGCUCCAUUUGAGCCUCCAUCAUAAAGAUGUAACAUACUAGAAAAUAUUUGCGUAUGUUCCUGUCAUCUUUAUAUAUAAAAAUUAUGUUCAACUACAUUAGCUAAUCAGAAGCACGCGGGAACUCACCUAUAUUCAUGGUAUGGAGCUUUUCAAAAUAGUGCCAUACAUAAUGGAUUUCACUAGGUGUUAAUAUUUUGUGUCGACUGAUUCAGUUCUUGAGCCAACAUUAUUUGCAAGAUUGCAUCUGUUUGGUCAUUGUUUACACAUAUUUUGCAGCUAAUGUUCCUCUUUAAGGAAAAGGACAUUGAAAUUUGGCAUGAUACAACUUUUUAAAGACAUGCAUUUGAGGGGUGACGUGGGACUGGUUAGAAGUGGUUGUUCGAGUUUAGUGAGUUUCUUUCAUAUUUGGCCAAUGGUAUGUAUUAAACAAUGAUGCUUUGUUUUGCGAAGACUUCAAGAGUUCUACAUUGUACAGUUCUACAUUGUACAGAUUUUCUUAUGUAUUUGUACCAUCUACUUUGUCCUUAUGGUCUUGAAGACCAAUCA